UGAUCAGCAAUACCGCGUGAGUGAGAGGCCUUAGGGUUGUAAAGCUCUUUCAGCAGGGAAAAUAAUGAUGGUACCUGCAAAAGAAGUCCCGGCUAACUCCGUGCCAGCAGCCGCGGUAAUACGGAGGGGACUAGCGUUGUUCGGAUUUACUGGGCGUAAAGGGUGCGUAGGCGGCCUGAUAAGUUAGAAGUGAAAGCCUGGGGCUCAACCCCAGAACUGCUUCUAAAACUGUUAGGCUAGAGUAUGGGAGAGGAUAGUGGAAUUCCUAGUGUAGAGGUGAAAUUCUUAGAUAUUAGGAGGAACACCGGUGGCGAAAGCGACUAUCUGGAACAUUACUGACGCUGAGGCACGAAAGCGUGGGGAGCAAACAGGAUUAGAUACCCUGGUAGUCCACGCUGUAAACGAUGAAUGCUAGAUAUCGGAUUUAUUCGGUGUCGUAGAUAACUUGAUAAGCAUUCCGCCUGGGGAGUACGGUCGCAAGAUUAAAACU
rnacentral:rRNA from 1 species